rnacentral:rRNA from 1 species
UACGAAGGGGGCUAGCGUUGCUCGGAUUGACUGGGCGUAAAGGGCGCGUAGGCGGCAAUUCAAGUCAUCUGUGAAAUCUCCGGGCUUAACCCGGAACGGUCAGGUGAUACUGUUUUGCUAGAGUGCGGAAGGGGCAAUCGGAAUUCUCGGUGUAGCGGUGAAAUGCGUAGAUAUCGAGAGGAACACCAGAGGUGAAGACGGGUUGCUGGGCCGACACUGACGCUGACAGCGCGAAAGCCAGGGGAGCAAACGGG